AGCGGCGCACGGGUGAGUAACGCGUACGCAAUCUGCCCUUCAGUGAGGAAUAGCCCUGGGAAACUGGGAUUAAUACCUCAUAAUAUUAUCUAUUCGCAUGGAUAGAUAAUUAAAGUUCUGGCGCUGAAGGAUGAGCGUGCGUCUGAUUAGCUAGUUGGUAGGGUAACGGCCUACCAAGGCGACGAUCAGUAGGGGGCGUGAGAGCGUGACCCCCCACACGGGUACUGAGACACGGACCCGACUCCUACGGGAGGCAGCAGUAAGGAAUAUUGGGCAAUGGAGGCAACUCUGACCCAGCCAUCCCGCGUGAAGGAUUAAGGCCCUAUGGGUUGUAAACUUCUUUUGUUUGGGAAGAAAUCUGGACAUUUAUGUGCAGUUGACGGUACCUUACGAAUAAGCACCGGCUAACUCCGUGCCAGCAGCCGCGGUAAUACGGAGGGUGCAAGCGUUAUCCGGAAUCACUGGGUUUAAAGGGUGCGUAGGCGGUUUGAUAAGUCAGAGGUGAAAGCUAGCAGCUUAACUGUUAAAUUGCCUUUGAUACUGUCAGACUUGAAUCAAGUUGAGGUAGGCGGAAUGUGACAUGUAGCGGUGAAAUGCAUAGAUAUGUCAUAGAACACCAAUUGCGUAGGCAGCUUGCUGGGCUUGAAUUGACGCUGAGGCACGAAAGCGUGGGGAUCAAACAGGAUUAGAUACCCUGGUA
rnacentral:rRNA from 1 species